rnacentral:rRNA from 1 species
UACGUAGGGGGCAAGCGUUGUCCGGAAUCAUUGGGCGUAAAGAGCGUGUAGGCGGCUCGAUAAGUCUGCUGUGAAAGUCCAGGGCUCAACCCUGGAAGGCCGGUGGAAACUGUCGGGCUAGAGUCCGGAAGAGGCGAGUGGAAUUCCCGGUGUAGCGGUGAAAUGCGCAGAUAUCGGGAGGAACACCAAUGGCGAAGGCAGCUCGCUGGGACGGUACUGACGCUGAGACGCGAAAGCGUGGGGAGCAAACAGGGAUUAAGAA